AUUGAACGCUGGCGGCAUGCUUUACACAUGCAGGUCGAACGGUAACAGGGAGCUUGCUCCGCUGACGAGUGGCGAACGGGUGAGUAAUGCGUCGGAACGUGCCGAGUAGUGGGGGAUAACGCAGCGAAAGUUGUGCUAAUACCGCAUACGUACUGAGGUAGAAAGUGGGGGACCUUCGGGCCUCACGCUAUUCGAGCGGCCGACGUCUGAUUAGCUAGUAGGUGAGGUAAAGGCUCACCUAGGCGACGAUCAGUAGCGGGUCUGAGAGGAUGAUCCGCCACACUGGGACUGAGACACGGCCCAGACUCCUACGGGAGGCAGCAGUGGGGAAUUUUGGACAAUGGGCGAAAGCCUGAUCCAGCCAUGCCGCGUGUCUGAAGAAGGCCUUCGGGUUGUAAAGGACUUUUGUACGGAACGAAACGGUCCUGGUUAAUACCCGGGGCUAAUGACGGUACCGUAAGAAUAAGCACCGGCUAACUACGUGCCAGCCGCCGCCGUAAAAC
rnacentral:rRNA from 1 species